GACAUGCAGAGUAACUUCAGAGAUGGAUUGGUGCCGUUCGGGAACUCUGACACAGGUGCUGCAUGGCGUGUCGUCAGCUCGUCGUCGUGAGAUGUUGGGUUAAGGUCCCGUAACGAGCGCAACCCUUGUCCUUAGUUACCAGCACGUUAUGGUGGGCACUCUAAGGGAGACUGCCGGUGACAAACCGGAGGAAGGUGGGGAUGACGUCAAGUCAUCAUGGCCCUUACGGCCUGGGCUACACACGUGCUACAAUGGUCGGUACAAAGGGUUGCCAAGCCGCGAGGUGGAGCUAAUCCCAUAAAACCGAUCGUAGUCCGGAUCGCAGUCUGCAACUCGACUGCGUGAAGUCGGAAUCGCUAGUAAUCGUGAAUCAGAAUGUCACGGUGAAUACGUUCCCGGGCCUU
rnacentral:rRNA from 1 species